UACGUAGGGGGCAAGCGUUAUUCGGAAUUACUGGGCGUAAAGCGUGCGCAGGCGGUUUUGUAAGUCAGAUGUGAAAUCCCCGGGCUUAAACUGGGAACUGCGUUUGAAACUACAAGGCUAGAGUGUGACAGAGGGGGGUGGAAUUCCACGUGUAGCAGUGAAAUGCGUAGAGAUGUGGAGGAACACCGAUGGCGAAGGCAGCCCCCUGGGUUAACACUGACGCUCAGGCACGAAAGCGUGGGGAGCAAACAGG
rnacentral:rRNA from 1 species